CAGGCGCCGCCGGUGGUGACGAUGGCGGAGAGGCCGUCGGGUAGGCGAGGGCGAGCCUGGAUGUUUUCCCCUCCUUCCUCCUGGGUUUCUGGUAGUGGGCAGCGCAACAAUGCAAGAUCGAGCAGGAGGUGGCAUUAGAAGCAGGAGCAGCACCACAACGCGACACUGAUAGUGAAGAAAUCACAGGAAGAGAAUACAAGGGUAGAAGGCAGGAAGCUAGUGCUGAACAAGUCACAAAUGACAUCCUGAACACAAGGUAUGGUUGGAAGGAGGAGAUUUCAGAGAAGGCAACCAGAGUGAAGCAGCAUGGAAACAGACAUGGGAGUGAUCUGAAGCUUGUGUCUAGUUGUUUGUUGUUGUCUCUUGUAGUUGCUACUCGCUACAUGUUUGAUCAUGUACUUGUUUCUCUUCCAGUGAUUUCUGUAGAGUGAUUUGGCGACGAUGCAACAGAGCAAGGUGAUCUUUUCGCGUGAUUGGUUUCAUGCCUCUUCUGCUUCUGAGCCGAGCUAGGGGCUGAGCGGAGAAGAAAGAAGAAGCCAAGCCGCCAAGGCAAGUAAGCACAGUGAUCUUUCCAGCGCGUGCUCGCGACGUGCAUUGUUGGAUGCUUUUCUAGUCCAGGUGGCAUCUAUCAAGAACGGGACCCAACCGCCCUGUGGUGGCCCACCUGGCAGUCUGUGGUGGCCGAGCCCCCUCGUCCUCUCCUCCCUCCCACCCAAGUACCCAACCACCCCGGCCCCACCUGGAGCCGCCGUACGUAUAAAAUGGCUCGUCCACCAUACUGUAAUCUCAGGGUUUCAGCUCCGGCGCGAUGUGGGGGGAGGCCGGAGGGGCGAGAUGGCGGAGAGGGCCAAGGGGACGGUGAAGUGGUUCAAGUUCAACGCCACCCAAGGGGUUCGGCUUCAUCUCCCCCGACGGCGGCGGCGAUGACCUCUUCGUCCACCAGUCGGCCAUCAACUCCGACGGCUUCACCAGCAGCCUCAACGAGAGGGCGACGCCGUCGAGUUCGCCGUAGAUCUCCUCCGCCGACGGCACCCAGGGUGAGGAGGGUCACAUGCCCGGGACUGCACCAAGGGUGGUGGGUACGGUGGGGGAGGCUACCGGAGCGGCGGUGAGUCCGGCCACUUCGCGCGCGACUGCCCCAGCAACAGCAAGAGCUGUCAGUAGUUGAUGCGUAGCUCGUGGUAGCACUAGGCAGCAACAAGAAGAAAGUUGGUGUGGUGGUAGUAGUGUGGUCGUUCGACGAGAUGAGAAUGAGUGGCUACUGUUUUUUUUCUUUUGUUGCUGUGGUUAGCUUGCAUGAUUAGCAUUCUCUAAUAUUUUAUAUCCAUCGUCCAUGAAUCAAUUUCUGCAUGGUAAUUUUCUGUUCUACCGCUGCUAAGGGCGUGUUAUUUCGUUGUGUUACAUGGGACGUUUAAUGAGAUAUUGGAACGUUUGAUCGGU